AUAAAGUUCACAAUUAAAACCAGUCAAUCCGCCUUUAAUAUCUCAAUCAAUUUGGAAAUUAUUUGCCCUCUUUAAUUCAUUCACAAUCACGGUAUUUAUUUCCCCAACCCUAUGCUCUCUCCUACCGCCACUUUUCCAUAAUACUCCUUUCACAAAUUAAGUUUCUCUAGAAUUUGCAAGAACUCACGAGAGCAAGGCCAAUCCUCUUGACUCUCACUCACUCGGUCAAGGCUUCUUCAUAACCAAAUCCAAUCGAUCUUAAGGUAAUCUCCCUACAACUAUUCUUCGAAUGGCGGAAACAACACGCUGUAAACCCUCUGUCAGAAAAUCAAGGGAGGAAGUAGCGCCUAUGUUUUUUUUUCUUGCACUCACAGUCUGUUAUUGAAGGUAUACACUUCUUCCACCCAAUUCGAAUUUCAUACUACUACAUCCAUACAUUCUAUUAAUCGAAUAAAUCGAAGUAACCCGAAUUAAGAUUCGAACAUAAAUAAAUCAAGAUCUUACCUUUAAUGGGGAAACGGGGCAAAUCGGGGUGGAUCGAGGCAGUGACCGGUCGAUUGGGGCAGUGCGACGGCGAUCUGCAGCGGUGAAUUGGAAAUAUCGUUUUCGAUGUGGUCGGCGAGAGCAUGAGGGAGACGGAGCUCUAAUUUCUAUUCAAUUCGUGUCGACGGAAAUUUCCUUUCUGGAGGUGUGCUUGAGUCCCAUUUUUGGGAAGAAAGGAGAGAGUAUUUUGUCAUUCUUUUGCUUUAUUUCUUUAAAAUAUUUGAUGAUUGUUAAAGUUGGAGGGUGUACGUGUGUAUGACGGAGUGGGAGUAUAUGUUUCAUUUCUAUUGUUUUACCACUAAUACUUUAUUCCUUUUUUCCUUGUUUA